rnacentral:rRNA from 1 species
UACAGAGGGUGCGAGCGUUGUUCGGAAUUAUUGGGCGUAAAGCGCUUGUAGGCGGCACGUCAAGUCGCGUGUGAAAUCCCCAGGCUUAACCUGGGAAGUGCGCGCGAAACUGACGAGCUUGAGUGCCGGAGAGGGUCGCGGAAUUCCCGGUGUAGAGGUGAAAUUCGUAGAUAUCGGGAGGAACACCAGUGGCAGAAGGCGGCGACCUGGG